GCAAGUUCAUAAGAGCAAACGGUGAAUGCCUUGGCAUCUGGAGCCGAAGAAGGACGUCGUAAUCUGCGAUAAGCCUCGGGGAGCUGAUAAACGAGCUGUGAUCCGAGGAUUUCCGAAUGGGGAAACCCCGCCAGGCCCCUUGUGGUGACCUGGUGACUCCCGCCUGAAUAUAUAGGGCGGGUAGAGGGAACGUGGGGAAGUGAAACAUCUCAGUACCCACAGGAAGAGAAAACAACAGUGAUUCCGUCAGUAGUGGCGAGCGAACGCGGAAGAGGCUAAACCGAGUCAUGUGUGAUACCCGGCAGGGGUUGCAUGGCCGGGGUUGUGGGACUUUUCGUUCCGGUCUGCCGGCCGGUGAACGUUACAGCGCAUCAUAGACGAACAGGUUUGAACGCCUGGCCAGAGCGGGUGCGAGCCCCGUAGUCGAAAUGGUGUUAUGGCGUGAAGAGUAUCCCAAGUAGCACGGGGCCCGAGAAAUCCCGUGUGAAUCUGUCAGGACCACCUGAUAAGCCUAAAUACUCCCAGAUGACCGAUAGCGGACAAGUACCGUGAGGGAAAGGUGAAAAGUACCCCGGGAGGGGAGUGAAAUAGUACCUGAAACCGUUUGCUUACAAACCGUCGGAGCCUCCUUGUAGGGGUGACGGCGUGCCUUUUGAAGAAUGAGCCUGCGAGUUAGUGCUCUGUGGCGAGGUUAACCCGUGUGGGGCAGCCGUAGCGAAAGCGAGUCCGAAUAGGGCGAUUCAGUCGCAGGGUCUAGACCCGAAGCGAAGUGAUCUAUCCAUGGCCAGGUUGAAGCGACGGUAAGACGUCGUGGAGGACCGAACCCACUUCAGUUGAAAAUGGAGGGGAUGAGCUGUGGAUAGGGGUGAAAGGCCAAUCAAACUUCGUGAUAGCUGGUUCUCUCCGAAAUGCAUUUAGGUGCAGCGUUGCGUGUUUCUUGCCGGAGGUAGAGCUACUGGAUGGCCGAUGGGGCCCAAAAGCUUACUGACGUCAGCCAAACUCCGAAUGCCGGUAAGUGAGAGCGCAGCAGUGAGACUGUGGGGGAUAAGCUUCAUAGUCGAGAGGGAAACAACCCAGACCACCAACUAAGGUCCCUAAGCGCGUGCUAAGUGGGAAAGGAUGUGGAGUUGCACAGACAACCAGGAGGUUGGCUUAGAAGCAGCCACCCUUGAAAGAGUGCGUAAUAGCUCACUGGUCAAGUGAUUCCGCGCCGACAAUGUAACGGGGCUCAAGCACGCCACCGAAGUUGUGGCAUUGACAUUAGUGGUAGGCCUUCGUGGUCCAGCCGUGUUGAUGGGUAGGAGAGCGUCGUGUGGCGAGUGAAGCGGCGGUGUGAACCAGCCGUGGAUGCUNNNNNNNNNNNNNNNNNNNNNNNNNNNNNNNNNNNNNNNNNNNNNNNNNNNNNNNNNNNNNNNNNNNNNNNNNNNNNNNNNNNNNNNNNNNNNNNNNNNCCCGUGCUGGUGCGUUUAGCGUAUUAACAGGUGUGACGCAGGAAGGUAGCCGAGCCGGGCGAUGGUUGUCCCGGUCUAAGGAUGUAGGGCGAACGAUAGGCAAAUCCGUCGUUCAUAUAGCCUGAGAUCUGAUGGGUAGACGCAAGUCGAAAUCGGUGAUCCUAUGCUGCCAAGAAAAGCAUCGACGCGAGGUUCUAGCUGCCCGUACCCCAAACCGACUCAGGUGGUCAGGUAGAGAAUACUAAGGAGAUCGAGAGAAUCGUGGUUAAGGAACUCGGCAAAAUGCCCCCGUAACUUCGGGAGAAGGGGGGCCUGAGGCGUGAACGGACUUGCUCCGGGAGCGUUCGAUGGCCGCAGAGACCAGUGGGAAGCGACUGUUUACUAAAAACACAGGUCCGUGCUAAGUCGCAAGACGAUGUAUACGGACUGACGCCUGCCCGGUGCUGGAAGGUUAAGAGGAACGGUUAGCCGCAAGGCGAAGCUGAGAAUUUAAGCCCCAGUAAACGGCGGUGGUAACUAUAACCAUCCUAAGGUAGCGAAAUUCCUUGUCGGGUAAGUUCCGACCUGCACGAAUGGCGUAACGACUUCCCAGCUGUCUCAACCGCGAACUCGGCGAAAUUGCAUUACGAGUAAAGAUGCUCGUUACGCGCAGCAGGACGGAAAGACCCCGUGACCUUUACUAUAGUUUGGUAUUGGUGUUCGGUGUGGCUUGUGUAGGAUAGGUGGGAGACGUUGAAGCGGGCACGCUAGUGUUCGUGGAGUCAUUGUUGAAAUACCACUCUGGUCACUCUGGAUAUCUAACUUCGGACCCUAAUCGGGUUCAGGGACAGUGCCUGAUGGGUAGUUUAACUGGGGCGGUUGCCUCCCAAAGAGUAACGGAGGCGCCCAAAGGUUCCCUCAACCUGGUUGGCAAUCAGGUGGCGAGUGUAAGUGCACAAGGGAGCUUGACUGUGAGACUGACAAGUCGAGCAGGGACGAAAGUCGGGACUAGUGAUCCGGCAGUGGCUUGUGGAAGCGCUGUCGCUCAACGGAUAAAAGGUACCUCGGGGAUAACAGGCUGAUCUUGCCCAAGAGUCCAUAUCGACGGCAUGGUUUGGCACCUCGAUGUCGGCUCGUCGCAUCCUGGGGCUGGAGUAGGUCCCAAGGGUUGGGCUGUUCGCCCAUUAAAGCGGUACGCGAGCUGGGUUUAGAACGUCGUGAGACAGUUCGGUCCCUAUCCGCUGCGCGCGCAGGAAAUUUGAGAAGAUCUAUCCCUAGUACGAGAGGACCGGGAUGGACGAACCUCUGGUGUGUCAGUUGUUCCGCCAGGAGCACCGCUGAUUAGCUACGUUCGGAACGGAUAACCGCUGAAAGCAUCUAAGCGGGAAGCCGGCUUCGAGAUGAGAUUUCCAUCCCUUCGGGGGAGAGGCUCCCAGCCAGACGACUGGGUUGAUAGGCCGGAUGUGGAAGACAGGACUAAAGACUGUCGGAGCUGACCGGUACUAAUAAGCCGAUAACUUGAUAA
rnacentral:rRNA from 1 species